rnacentral:rRNA from 1 species
UGAUUCUUCGGAUGAAGACUUUUGUGACUGAGCGGCGGACGGGUGAGUAACGCGUGGGUAACCUGCCUCAUACAGGGGGACAACAGUUAGAAAUGACUGCUAAUACCGCAUAAGACCACAGGGUCGCAUGACCCGGUGGUAAAAACUCCGGUGGUAUGAGAUGGACCCGCGUCUGAUUAGCUAGUUGGUGGGGUAACGGCUCACCAAGGCGACGAUCAGUAGCCGACCUGAGAGGGUGACCGGCCACAUUGGGACUGAGACACGGCCCAAACUCCUACGGGAGGCAGCAGUGGGGAAUAUUGCACAAUGGGGGAAACCCUGAUGCAGCGACGCCGCGUGAAGGAUGAAGUAUUUCGGUAUGUAAACUUCUAUCAGCAGGGAAGAAAAUGACGGUACCUGACUAAGAAGCCCCGGCUAACUACGUGCCAGCAGCCGCGGUAAUACGUAGGGGGCAAGCGUUAUCCGGAUUUACUGGGUGUAAAGGGAGCGUAGACGGCAUGGCAAGUCUGAAGUGAAAGCCCGGGGCUCAACCCCGGGACUGCUUUGGAAACUGUCAGGCUAGAGUGCUGGAGAGGUAAGUGGAAUUCCUAGUGUAGCGGUGAAAUGCGUAGAUAUUAGGAGGAACACCAGUGGCGAA